AUGGCCGCCUCCCCGGACCGCGCCAAUGACGACCUCUGCCGCCGACUCGCCGUAGACACGCCUCCACCGCCCCAGAUCGCCAAAGAGAAGCAAGGCCUGGAUACUGGCAUGCCCCUUUCUCCUCAGUGGCUUAUGAAGGAGCCCAGUUCACAGGGUUCACGCUCAGAUGCUACAAAGACAUCAGGUAAUGGUGAAGACAUGGACUCCAGUGUGAAGAAAAAGGAUGUCUUCAGGGCUUCUGUGCUUGAUGGUGAAGCUGCGCGUCGUGACCGUUGGCGUGAUGAUGAGCGGGAACCAAAUUCAGGCCCUCGGUGGGUUCGCUGGAGGGAGACAGACAAGGAACAAGCUGAUACACGCAAGGUAGAAAAAUGGUCAGAUGACUCGUCCAAGUUUUCUGUGGAUGGCCGUCGUGCUCCACAGGAACGUUGGGGUGAUUCCAGUAACAAGGAGGGCAACUAUGACCAACGCCGUGAGGGCAAGUGGAUUACUCGUUGGGGUUCCAGUGAUAAGGAGUCUGAAAAUUGGCGUGAUCGCUGGGGUGAUUCGGGCAAGGAGGGUGAUGCUUCCCGUGAAAAAGGUUUUUCGCAGUUUGUUGCACAUGGGAAAGAUGGCAACAUUCAUGACAAGGAUACUGAGAGAGAUGAUAACAUUUCUCGGUCAUGGAAGUCUAGUCAUCCUGUGGGCCGUGGCCGGGGUGAUUCUUCUUAUCACCCCUCACAGAUAUCACAAAAACCACCUUCUUUGUAUGGGUAUGGUAGAGGGAAGCCAGACAAUGAAAUCACAGGUUUUUCAGGUUCUCGUGGAAAAUUUACCCCUAGUUCUGGUAGUACAAAUGCUGGCAGUACUGGAUCUUCACGUCCAUUCCAUCUUGGUCUACUUUCUGACAGACCUGGUGGUGCAUCAGGGGAUCGCACAGCAUUUAGAUAUAGUAGGAUGAAACUGCUUGACAUAUACAGAACAACUUCCCAUGUUACUGACUUCAAGAUGCCUUUUGAUGUUUGUGAGGAAGGGUCUGCAUUUAUGCAAGAAGAAAUGUUGGAGCCUUCAGCAUUAUUUGCUCCGACGACUGACGAAGCGGUCAUUUUAAAAGCAAUUGACAAAGGGGAAAUCAUAAACAGUGGUGUCCAUCAGGUUUCCAAAGAUGGGUCUGUUGGGAAAAGUAAUCCUGAUGUGGUGCCGUCAAAACAAUCUAAAUUAGGUGGUAGAGAUGAUCAACCUGGAAGUGCAGAUGAUUUGAAGGGAGAAACAGCUGGAAGUCUCAGUGGUGUUCCUGGAAAUGUUGAUUCACUGCGUACAGAGACACCUAGCUAUGUUGUUCCACAAAGAUCUCGCUUUAUUGGAGACCAUAGGCUUGGCCCAACUGACUUUCCGCAGCAAAUGCCCAAUGUCUUUGAUCAAGAAAGUAAAGUAGUCGGGAUGACAGGUGUUGAUGAGUUGACCAGUCCUAUUCAACCUUAUCCUAAUCCAGAAAAUCUCUCUUUAUACUACAAAGACCCACAAGGUCGAAUUCAAGGCCCAUUUUCUGGUGCUGACAUCAUUGGCUGGUUUGAGGCUAGUUACUUUGGUAUUGAUUUACUGGUUCGAGUUGCAAAUGCUCCUCCUGAUGCGCCUUUCUUAAUGCUUGGCGAUGUUAUGCCUCACCUACGAGCAAAGGCAAGGCCACCUCCAGGGUUUAGCACCACAAAAUCCACUGAUAUGCUAAUGCCGGAGACUCCACCUACAGGGAAAUUUGUCAGCUCCAGUAGCACACAUAGCGGAUCAGCUGGUGUCGGUAUUUUUAACAGUGGGCCAAGCAGGAAUGGCGGUGCUGUUGAAGCUCAGAAUCGUUUUCUGGAGUCACUGAUGUCUAAUGGUAUGCAAGGUCCUUCAGCUGCUAUGACUGGAGGGCUGAAUGAAUAUAACAGCAGUAGCUUUGGCAACAUUGCGAUGGCCGGAGGCGAGAUGGGGAAUAGCAUGAAUUAUCUUUUGGCACAGCAGAGAUUGUUGGAAAGACAAAAAUCUUCCCAAAAUGCUGUUCCAUAUUGGUCUGCAGAUGGUAUUCCAGCAGCACAGGCACAAAACAAAGAUACAGCUUCAGAAGUGUCUGCUCUGCACUCUAAAGUACCCAGUACAAUGGCUGAUCCAUCUCGUCAAGCAUCACAAUCUCAAAAUGUUGACUUGCUUGCUAUGCUGCAUUCUGCAGAGAAACCUAAAGCACCUGCGGGAUUGCCACCAUGGUCAAACUAUCCCGAAUCCCGAAAUGUUAAUCCUAACCUUCAUGUGGAUCUCACUCAAGGGCCACUUAACAUGCAUCAAAAUCUGCAGAAUUCUCAGCAAAUGGCUACUGCUGUUCAACAACAGAACUUCAUGCCACAGAACCAGCCACCUCUCUCUCAUUUGCCAUCAGAGAAGUUGCUUGCUGAGAUAUCUCAAGACCCACAACUCUUGCACAUGUUUCAACAACAGUAUCUGCUAUCACAACUACAGUUGCAAUCACAGCCGCCAGUGGCACCUCAACCUCAGCCACAACUCUCAAUGUUGGACAAGAUGAUAUUGCUUCAGCAGCAGCAGCAGCAGCAGCAGCAACAGCAACAUCAGCAGCUGCAACAACGACUACAGCUUGAGCAACAGCAGUUGUUGCUGCAACAACAGCACCUAGUUUCUCACGUUGCACCUCAUGGACAUCCCAACCAACAGCUUGAUGAUCCUUAUGGGUCGAAGCAUACUACAUUGCCAGCUGGUGAUUCUAUGAAUCUUGGUGUUCGAACAAUUCAAGAGGUUCUUGAAGCUGAUCGUAUUUUGACUAACCAUGGUACACCCCAGGGAUCUAGUCAAGCAUUUAUGAGUAUGAGGGGUAUGGAGGGUGUUGGAACAUCACAAAGCUCUGUACCUACUGUGCCAUUGCCUCAUGAAUUUUUUAUGGGCGCACCUUCGAAAGAACGGUUUCCCCAUCCUCAGAAGUUGGGAAACUCGGCAAGUGAUAACACUCAACUUAGUGCAAGUAUGGUCAGUACGAUGCAAACAGAAGUUGCAGAAAGGUAUGAGGAGGCUUCUGGAAACUAUCAGCAAGUUGGAAUAGGUAAAGUUGAAAGUAAGCCUGCAAAUAUUUUAAGUUUAAGAUCUACAGAGGCCAGCAGUUCAGCUCUUAGUGAAGCUAAGUGUUUUCCUGAGACACCACUGAAUCAACUAUCAGAGAUCAUGUCGCCUCAUAAUCGUGUCCAGGAAAUUACAAAUACCCUUGAUGCAGUUGAGCUAACUAUGACAACUGAUGCAAAAACUCCUGAUGCACAAGAGACAAAGAAAGCUGAAAAGAAAAAGAAGCAGAAGAAGAAACAGACAGCUGUAGAUGUUGGCAAAGGAGCUCCAAACACAGUUUCUCAACAUCCAACACUAGAAGCUGAAGUUGAUGCUUCAAAUCAGGCUGUUACUAAGCAUGGUUUGCCAGAUGACACAGACGAACUUUUUUGGGGUUCCACUGCCAGAGGGGAAAGCUCUUCUAGAGCAGUUGGACCUCCGCUGGGCUUUGAAUCAUAUGUGAAUUUGCCUCCCAAAAGUCUUCCUGAGGAGUAUGCUAUCAAUAGAGCUGAAUGGGAACCUAGUGCUCUAUCCGAGCCUCAUGCAGCGGCAAGCCAGAAAGGUUGGAAACCUACCCAAGGACCCAGGCCUAAAUCACUGCUGGAAAUUCAAGCUGAGGAACAACUAAGAGCACAGAGGGUAGCUGCGGACAGUGCCAAGAUAACCAUGCCAGCGCCUCCUGUGCCAUCAGGUCCUUGGAAUACCAUGUCUGCAUCUUCUGAGCAACAAUUGGGGGGUGCAGGUAAAUCACUGGGUGGCCAGGAAAGUGCUGGUGACUCCAGGAACAAGAGAAGUCAGUUGCAUGAUUUGUUAGCGGAAGAAGUUCUGGCAAGGUCUAGUAAUGCAGACAAUGAGAACAUAGGCAAUGCUAAUGAUGUGUUGUUUCCUCCUCUAUCACCUGCUGUUGUUCAGUCUGAUGCUCCUACUUUUGAUGAUGAUGACUUCAUUGAGGCCAAGGACUCGAAAAAGAACAAGAAAAAGGGGACAAAGUCAAAAGGAUCUGCAGCCAAAGCCCCAUUACCUGUUAGUUCCAUUGAUUCAUCAGUUAUGUCUAUACCAGCUGAAAAGGGCAAAUCUUCAAAGCAAGCGAAACAAGAGAAGGAAAUACUUCCGGCUCCUCCAAGUGGUCCAUCCUUUGGAGAUUUUGUUCCUUGGAAGACUGACCAGACAAAUUUUGCGCCUGCUCCAGCAUGGUCCAAUGACUCUGCGAAGGUGCACAAACCUUUGUCUUUGAGAGAUAUUCAGAGAGAGGAAGAAAGGAGAUCAGGUGUUGUCCAGCAACAACCACCCUCACCUACUCCAGCAAAGGUUUCGGUGAACCAACGGAAUCAUGGUAAUGCUUCUUCUAAGCAAGCUUCUGGGUCUUCUCCAUCAAAGGCAGUUGCCCCUGUCCAGAUGAGUUCCAAUCCUUCCAAUCGUUCCAAGUCAAAUGCUGAAGAUGAUCUGUUUUGGGGCCCAUCUGACCACUCCAAACAAGAUAAGAAACAGUCAGAAUUCCCAAGUCUAGCAAGUCAGAGUAAAAGUUCCAUGACGAAAGACCAGUCUUCAGUAAACCGUCACAAGUCUCAGGCUAGCAAGUUGCCACUUUCAACGGCUCCUAGUGCUAACCUCAUUGGGAAAGGGAAAGCAGAGGCAGCAAACAAGCAGACAGAGGCAAUGGACUUCCGGGAUUGGUGCGACAGCGAGUGGUCCAGGCUCACUGGAACAAAUGAUACAAGUUUCCUUGAGUUCUGCAUUAAGCAGUCGACUGCUGAAGCAGAAAUGCUUCUCCGGGAGAACGUCGGCUCUCUCGACCGCAACGGCCAGUUCAUCGACAGGUUCCUCAACUACAAGGCUUUUCUGUCCACAGAUGUGAUCGAGAUGGCAUUCAGAGCGCCCAGCAACCGUGCCCCCCGCCUGAACCCCGCUUCUGCAGCCAAAGGAGGGCCAAGUGCUGAGGCAGAGCAGGAUACAGGAGGAAAGAAAAAAGGGAAGAAAGGGAAGAAGGUGAGCGCAGCGGUUUUAGGGUUCAAUGUAGUCAGCAACCGCAUCAUGAUGGGAGAGAUCCAGAACGUGGAUUAG
rnacentral:rRNA from 1 species